UACGUAGGGUGCGAGCGUUGUCCGGAAUUACUGGGCGUAAAGAGCUCGUAGGUGGUUUGUCGCGUUGUUCGUGAAAUCUCACGGCUUAACUGUGAGCGUGCGGGCGAUACGGGCAGACUGGAGUACUGCAGGGGAGACUGGAAUUCCUGGUGUAGCGGUGGAAUGCGCAGAUAUCAGGAGGAACACCGGUGGCGAAGGCGGGUCUCUGGGCCGUAACUGACGCUGGAGACGCGAAAGCGUGGGGAGCAAAACAGG
rnacentral:rRNA from 1 species